rnacentral:misc_RNA from 1 species
AGUCAAGAUGGUUAAAUGACCAGGCUGCUGGCCAAAUAGAACUUCCAUGUUAUUUUGUUGUGCUUUAUUUACUCUUGUAGAACAAGAUAUCUUGAGAAUAUUUUGUUCAAAAGUCUCCAGAAUUCUUCUUCAUGAUGCAACUUUUUGUGUGGCUGCUAAGCCAGAUUAUUUGAUCAUGCUCAGCAUAUAUGGAAAUAGGACAACAUAUCUGCGAG